rnacentral:rRNA from 1 species
UACGUAGGGAGCAAGCGUUGUCCGGAAUCAUUGGGCGUAAAGCGCGCGUAGGCGGCCCCGUAAGUCCGCUGUGAAAGUCAAAGGCUCAACCUUUGAAAGCCGGUGGAUACUGUGGGGCUAGAGUCCGGAAGAGGCGAGUGGAACUCCUGGUGUAGCGGUGGAACGCGCAGAUAUCAGGAAGAACACCGACGGCGAAGGCAGCUCGCUGGGACGGUACUGACGCUGAGGCGCGAAAGCGUGGGGAGCGAACAGG